CAUAAUUAAUUUUUUUUGUUUCAUUAUUGUUCUGUGGUUGUGUACUUCUAUACUAUGUGCUUUCUUUACUACCAGAAGCUAAAUUUAAUAUCGUUUUAUAAGCAACAAGAAUAUGACAGUACAUCAUAUAGAUCAGGAAACUGGGGAGUGAAGAAUAAUAAAAGAAAUGCAAUCUGAUCCUGCCAGCAGUGAAAGGGCGAGGUAAUUUACACACACUUGGGUAUUCUUGUGCUGAAGAGAAUGUGGGAAAUUGACGUAAACUAUUGUUAAGGUAAGACAACCCGAUGCUGUCACUUAAGGGCUCUGUGGACUCAGGUUUUCUCUCCCUGAGGCUUGCGUGAGCUCCUUUUUGAGGUUUUA